AUUGAACGCUGGCGGCAUGCCUUACACAUGCAAGUCGAACGGCAGCACGGGAGCAAUCCUGGUGGCGAGUGGCGAACGGGUGAGUAAUAUAUCGGAACGUGCCCGGUCGUGGGGGAUAACGUAGCGAAAGCUACGCUAAUACCGCAUACGAUCUACGGAUGAAAGCGGGGGAUCGCAAGACCUCGCGCGAUUGGAGCGGCCGGUAUCAGAUUAGGUAGUUGGUGAGGUAAAGGCUCACCAAGCCGACGAUCUGUAGCUGGUCUGAGAGGACGACCAGCCACACUGGGACUGAGACACGGCCCAGACUCCUACGGGAGGCAGCAGUGGGGAAUUUUGGACAAUGGGCGCAAGCCUGAUCCAGCAAUGCCGCGUGCAGGAUGAAGGCCU
rnacentral:rRNA from 1 species